rnacentral:lncRNA from 1 species
UCAUCUACAGUACCAUCAGCAAUAGCAACAGUAUCAACUGCAGUACCACCAGCAACAAUAUCUGCAGGACCAUCAGGUAAUCUGAUUUGCAUGCUUAUGCAGUUUUAUGGGUGUUAUGUGUAUUUG